rnacentral:rRNA from 1 species
GACGAACGCUGGCGGCGUGCUUAACACAUGCAAGUCGAACGGAAAGGCCCUGCUUUUGUGGGGUGCUCGAGUGGCGAACGGGUGAGUAACACGUGAGUAACCUGCCCUUGACUUUGGGAUAACUUCAGGAAACUGGGGCUAAUACCGGAUAGGAGCUCCUGCUGCAUGGUGGGGGUUGGAAAGUUUCGGCGGUUGGGGAUGGACUCGCGGCUUAUCAGCUUGUUGGUGGGGUAGUGGCUUACCAAGGCUUUGACGGGUAGCCGGCCUGAGAGGGUGACCGGCCACAUUGGGACUGAGAUACGGCCCAGACUCCUACGGGAGGCAGCAGUGGGGAAUAUUGCACAGUGGGCGGGAGCCUGAUGCGGCAACGCCGCGUGCGGGAUGACGGCCUUCGGGUUGUAAACCGCUUUCGCCUGUGACGAAGCGUGAGUGACGGUAAUGGGUAAAGAAGCACCGGCUAACUACGUG